rnacentral:rRNA from 1 species
UACGUAGGCAGCAAGCGUUGUUCGGAAUUACUGGGCGUAAAGGGCGCGUAGGCGGCCGAUCAAGUCAGAUGUGAAAGUCCUGGGCUUAACCUGGGGACUGCAUUUGAUACUGAUUGGCUUGAAUGCAGGAGAGGAUAGCGGAAUUCCCAGUGUAGAGGUGAAAUUCGUAGAUAUUGGGAAGAACACCGGUGGCGAAGGCGGCUAUCUGGACUGUGAUUGACGCUGAGGCGCGAAAGCGUGGGGAGCGAACAGG